UGUCAGUCUCACCAAUUUCUCAUAUACAUGUGUAGUGUGCUGACUUUGUUUGGGAAUGGGUGGUAUCGUGAAUGAGUGUGACACAAUUUCUUCGGUGGUCGCUACCAAUCUAGAAUGCCAAGCCAAUAGCCCAUAUGACCAUAUACUUCUGGAGCCUUUUAAGGCACCCAGAUGCGAAGCUACGGCUACUCGAUCUCAGUUGGAGUUUCUCAAGGAUGAUGAAUUUACGGAGGUGUUGGUCAGUCUAUGGGCGAUAUGGUGGGCUUGGCACAACAAUCAAGGAACAAGGAACAAGAAUAUCAGUCCCCA